UUUUAGAUUGGACUCUGUAUUUUACUUGCACAACUGCUAAAGGUUUUGUACAAUAUUCAUUUUUAAAUAGAGGGGUUUAGUCAAAUUUAAUGGGGAAAAGGAAAGAUACGGAGCACUGAAGAAGAAGCAGUUUUGGAUGGUGAUGGAUUGCUUAUGGGUACGCCAAUAAAGAAGCACAAGAAAACACAAACAUAAAAAACA